CCUACGGGAGGCAGCAGUGAGGAAUAUUGGUCAAUGGACGAGAGUCUGAACCAGCCAAGUAGCGUGAAGGAUGACUGCCCUAUGGGUUGUAAACUUCUUUUAUAUGGGACUAAAAUGUUCCACGUGUGGGAUUUUGUAUGUACCAUAUGAAUAAGGAUCGGCUAACUCCGUGCCAGCAGCCGCGGUAAUACGGAGGAUCCGAGCUUUAUCCGGAUUUAUUGGGUUUAAAGGGAGCGUAGGUGGAUUGUUAAGUCGGUUGUGAAAGUUUGCGGCUCAACCGUAAAAUUGCAGUUGAAACUGGCAGUCUUGAGUACAGUAGAGGUGGGCGGAAUUCGUGGUGUAGCGGUGAAAUGCUUAGAUAUCACGAAGAACUCCGAUUGCGAAGGCAGUUCACUGGACUGCAACUGACACUGAGGCUCGAAAGUGUGGGUAUCAAACAGGAUUAGAUACCCGAGUAGUC
rnacentral:rRNA from 1 species